CCUUGCCCUAGACGUCACAUCAGUACGCAUAGAUAAUAAAAGACUGAUUAUGUCCGACUUUACUGACUUUUAUUAUCUACGGCUGCACGCACGGAAAACGUGGCAGUAGAGGAGCGCGCGCACUGCUCACACGACACACGCGUAGCCGGCCGGCUGAUUGGCGGCAGGCGGCGCCGGGUGGAAGAUUCGAUGUUGCUGACGGCGUGCCUCCAAACCACCGCGCACCUUGCCGAUUGACGGCCAACACCGCAAAUUUUAUUAUUAUUAUUAUUAUGGUAUGCGUUUUUGUGUUCUAGCCGUUCUCGGGCUCCCGCCUUCUCGCUCUUCGCACCCACGACUGCGUUCCGUAUUCAAAUAAUUAUUUAUUGCAUUUACGAUUUUGAAGCAUAGACGCAUAGUCACAUAGAUGUUUAUAUAAUACCAUUGAUUAUGAUUUAUGAAUAGUAUCAAACUCGGACUAUAUACUUAGUCCGUCGUAUCAAAAUUUCAUAAUCAUAAUACGUUAUACGUAUGUAUCAGAUUCUAAGCGAUAUACCCACUGAACUAUAUUAUACUGUACUCCGGUACAAGUGAUGUCAACAAUUAAUUAAUAUUUCAUAAGUUUCCACUCAAUGAUAAUGAAAGGUUAAAAAAAUGGGUACCUGCUGUCAGACAGACACAUUUUAAACCAAUGAUGUUUGUGCCCAAUCAGCUCAGUAAUCAUCCAGUAACUCAAUUAAAGACAAGAUAAAUUCAGCAAAUAAUUCCUGUAUGACCGAUUCUACGAAAAUUGAAAAUAAUACUGCUGUACCAAUUGAAUUCAAUAUUAAUAUGGAUGACAAAAUAAGCUCUAAUAGCAUUAGAAAAG